CAAGUCAAUGAAGGAGGGCAGUCAACAAUGAAGAGGUUUUAGAAAAUUUUCUUGCAAUUGGUAAGUCUGAUUUUUCCCAAAUUUUGUAUAUUUUUUAAUUUCUUAUUGAUUGAAAUUUGGAUGAAUUUUUUUAUUAAGAUCUAUGGUUCAAUUAAUAUUUAUUGAGGUUUCAAAUAGCUAUAGUAAUUGAUUAAAUUUUAUUUAGGAUUUUAUUAGGAUUUGAUUUAGAAUUAAGAUUUAGGAUUUAUUGAGGAUUUGAUUAGGAUUUGUCUCAAAUUUGAUUAGAAUUUGUUUAGGAUUUUAUAAGAUUUGAUUAGAAUUUAAGAUUUUAUAAGAUUUGAUUAGAAUUUAAGAUUUUAUUGGAAUUUAAUCUAAAAUAAGGAUUUGGUCUAAGAUUAAAAUUUAAGAUUUAUUUAAGAUUUGAUUAGGAUUUAUUUAAGAUUUGAUUAAGAUUUAUUUAAGAUUUAAUUAGGAUUUAUUUAAGAUUUAGGAUUUUAUUAGGAAUUUGUUGGGAUUGAUUUAAGGUUACAUUAAGAUUUGUUGAAGGUUAAAUUAUCUUAGAUGUAAGCUAUUUUUUAUAAUUAAAUAAAUAAAUAAAUCUAAUUGCUUAU
rnacentral:lncRNA from 1 species